UACGUAGGCAGCAAGCGUUGUUCGGAGUUACUGGGCGUAAAGGGUGCGUAGGCGGCCCUGUAAGUAUGGUGUGAAAUCUCCCGGCUUAACUGGGAGGGUGCGCUAUAGACUGCGGGGCUCGAGUGUGGGAGAGGAAAGUGGAAUUCCUGGUGUAGCGGUGAAAUGCGUAGAUAUCAGGAGGAACACCGGUGGUGUAAACGGCUUUCUGGACCAUAAACUGACGCUGGAGGCACGAAAGCCGUGGGUAGCAAACAGG
rnacentral:rRNA from 1 species